rnacentral:rRNA from 1 species
AAACUAGGAUUAGAUACCCUAUUAUUUAAGAGCUAUAUAUUGUUAGUAAAUAAUUAUUACGAAAGCAAAAAAUUAUGGCGGUAUUUUAAGCUUUUCAGAGGAAUUUGCUCUUUAAUGGAUAAAACACCUAAAUCUUACUUGAAUUUGUUAAGUCAAUUUGUAUACCACUAUAAAAUUAAUUAUUUGCUUUAAUUAAUAAAGUUUAUAAUUUUUAAAACAAAUUAAGUCAAGGUGCAGUAAAAAUUUAAGAAUGAAGUGAAUUACAUUUCUUCUAAGAGAUUAAUGCAAUUAAAAAUAGAAUUAGGAUUUGAAAGUAAAAUUAAAAUAUAAUGUUAAUUUGAAUAAAGCUCUAAAAUAUGUACACAUCGCCCGUCGCUCUCAUU